UCCGGUUGAUCCUGCCRGACCUGACUGCUAUCGGAUUGAUACUAAGCCAUGCGAGUCAUUGUAGCAAUACAAGGCAGACGGCUCAGUAACGCGUAGUCAAUCUACCCUAUGGACGGGAAUAACCUCGGGAAACUGAGAAUAAUGCCCGAUAGAACAUUAUACCUGGAACGGUUUAUGUUUCAAAUGAUUUAUCGCCAUAGAAUGGGACUGCGGCCUAUCAGUUUGUUGGUGAGGUAAUGGCCCACCAAGACUAUUACAGGUACGGGCUCUGAGAGGAGUAGCCCGGAGAUGGGUACUGAGACACGGACCCAGGCCCUAUGGGGCGCAGCAGGCGAGAAAACUUUGCAAUGUGCGAAAGCACGACAAGGUUAAUCCGAGUGGUUUCUGCUAAAGAAACCUUUUGCUAGUCCUAGAAACACUAGUGAAUAAGGGGUGGGCAAGUUCUGGUGUCAGCCGCCGCGGUAAAACCAGCACCUCAAGUGGUCAGGAUGAUUAUUGGGCCUAAAGCAUCCGUAGCCCGUUUUGUAAGUUUUCGGUUAAAUCCAUACGCUUAACGUAUGGGCUGCCGGGAAUACUGCAUAACUAGGAAGUGGGAGAGGUAGACGGUACUCGGUAGGAAGGGGUAAAAUCCUUUGAUCUAUUGAUGACCACCUGUGGCGAAGGCGGUCUACCAGAACGCACUCGACGGUGAGGGAUGAAAGCUGGGGGAGCAAACCGGAUUGGAUACCCGGGUAGUCCCAGCUGUAAACGAUGCAGACUCGGUGAUGAAUAGGCUUCGUGCCUCUUCAGUGCCGCAGGGAAGCCGUUAAGUCUGCCGCCUGGGGAGUACGGUCGCAAGACUGAAACUUAAAGGAAUUGGCGGGGGAGCACCACAAGGGGUGAAGCCUGCGGUUCAAUUGGAKUCAACGCCGGRA
rnacentral:rRNA from 1 species